CCUCGCCACGGAGAAAUUCCUGCUGGAGCUAAUAUGAUAUUCAAGAAAUUCCUCAAGGCCGGCCUCACCUUCACGAUGGAUCCUUACAACGACGUCGCGUGUCGUGCAUUUAGAGUUUGUAUGUAUGAUUACUUUGCUUGGUUGAGCCAGAUUAAUACCCUGGAAGAGAUUUUGACUUUUAGAGAUCAUUAACACUGUAGAAUUUCCCCAUUUGAUGUAGUACAUAAUAUUGGAUCAUAUACUAUUGUCACACUUGUAUACAUUGCUACAUCUUUUCUUCUUUGAAUAUAUUGUUUCCAACUGAA